UCACCAAGCCAUAUUACCCUGCAGCCCAAGACCGGUUACUCACUGAAGUUAAGCAGGGCUGAGUCUGUUUAGUACCAGAUGGGAGGCCACAUGGAGAAACUAGGUUGCUUUUGGAA
rnacentral:rRNA from 1 species